rnacentral:rRNA from 1 species
AUUGAACGCUGGCGGCAGGCCUAACACAUGCAAGUCGAACGAGUGGCGGACGGGUGAGUAAUGUCUGGGAAACUGCCCGAUGGAGGGGGAUAACUACUGGAAACGGUAGCUAAUACCGCAUACCAUCGGAUGUGCCCAGCUGGGAUUAGCUAGUAGGUGGGGUAAUGGCUCACCUAGGCGACGAUCCCUAGCUGGUCUGAGAGGAUGACCAUCCAAACUGGAACUGUGAAAGGGUCCGGACUCCUAGGGUAGGCAGAAGUGGGGAAUAUUGCACAAUGAGCGCAAGCCUGAUGCAGACAUGCCGCGGGUAGGAAAAGGGCCUUCGGGUGGUAAGGUACUUUCAGCGAGGAGGCGUUACUCGCAGAAGAAGCACCGGCUAACUCCGUGCCAGCAGCCGCGGUAAUAC